AAUAGAGAAGUAAAUAACAAUUAGUUUCGACCUAACAAUUAAGAAUUUUAUAAUUCUUCCUAUUU
rnacentral:tRNA from 1 species